rnacentral:rRNA from 1 species
CAGCAGCCACGGUAAUACGAAGGGGGCGAGCGUUGUUCGGAAUCACUGGGCGUAAAGAGUGCGUAGGCGGCGAUAAAAGUUAGAAGUGAAAGCCCAGGGCUCAACCUUGGAAUUGCUUUUAAAACUAGAUUGCUCGAAUUUGGGAGAGGAGAGCGGAAUUGUCAGUGUAGCAGUGAAAUGCGUAGAUAUUGACAGGAACACCAGUGGCGUAAGCGGCUCUCUGGACCAACAUUGACGCUGAGGCACGAAAGCGUGGGGAUCAAACAGGAUUAGAUACCCCGGUAGUCCCUGUCUCUUAUAC